rnacentral:rRNA from 1 species
CGUUUUUUGAUUAUAAUUUAAGAUUUAUUCUGCUCAAUGAAAAUUUAAAUAGCCGCAGUAUCUUAACUGUGCAAAGGUAGCAUAAUAAUUUGUUUAUUAAUUGUAAACUGGAAUGAAAGAACAGAUAAAAUAUUUACUUUAUUAAUAUUAUAAAUAUAAAGUUAAUUUUUUAGUAAAAAAGCUAAAAUUUUUUAUUGGGACGAGAAGACCCUAUAGAAUUUUAUAUUAUAAUGAAUAUUUUAAAUUAAUAUAUUUUUAUAUAUUUAUUAUAUUAAUUUAUUGGGAGGAUAAUUAAAUUUUUAAACUUUAAUAUAAUUAACCAAAGAUAAAUGAAGAUUGGAUUUUAUAUAUAAAAUUUUAGAAAAAUUACCUUAGGGAUAACAGUGUAAUAUUUUUAGAAAGUUCUUAUUGAUAAAAAUGUUUAUAACCUCGAUGUUGAAUUUAGAUUAAUUUAAAUAGAAGUUUGUUUAAAUUUUAGUCUGUUCGACUAUUAAAAUCUAACAU